rnacentral:rRNA from 1 species
ACGGAGGGGGCUAGCGUUGUUCGGAAUUACUGGGCGUAAAGCGCGCGUAGGCGGCUUGACAAGUUGGAGGUGAAAGCCCGGAGCUCAACUUCGGAAUUGCCUUCAAGACUGUCUCGCUAGAGGCAGGGAGAGGAGAGCGGAAUACCCAGUGUAGAGGUGAAAUUCGUAGAUAUUGGGUGGAACACCGGUGGCGAAGGCGGCUCUCUGGCCCUGAUCUGACGCUAAGGCGCGAAAGCGUGGGGAGCAAACAGGAUUAGAUACCCUGGUAGUCCACGCCGUAAACUAUGAGUGCUAGAUGUUGGGAGGUUUACUUCUCAGUGUCGCAGCUAACGCAUUAAGCACUCCGCCUGGGGAGUACGGCCGCAAGGUUA